CUGAUAAAACUCAAUAAUUACACGGUGAUAAUGACAACAUUUUAAUUGGAUUUUUUCUACAAAAAAACUCAAGUGUAUAUCCAGAAAUAAAUUAUCAAAAUGGAUUUUUGCUAAAAUUUGCUGAAAAAGAAUUUCAUAUAAUUGGUGCCAAUUUGAAUUGUGUUGAUGAGACAAUAAUACUUGGACAUUACAGUGUGAUAUCUCAAUAUGUCUAGGGUAAAGUAAACACGUUUGAGAAUUCAACACAAAUAGCCAAAGAGCCCUUGAUGUAUUUUGGUGUUUAGCAUGUUCAGCACAUUAAUAUUCAUCAUCGAGCUUCAAAAUCCAUCAGUGCACUUUGUCCACAAGUAUCUGAAUGUACAUAUUGCACGCUGGAAUUAAGUUUCGAUUCAUCAUAAAUUUGUCAAUAUGAAUUUGACCAAUGACCACAAUCACAAUGAUCAAGAGACACUCAAAAGUCAACUCAAGUAGAGGAUUAAAAUAAAAGAUGACCAGUUAGAAGCAAUGACGUUGUUACUUUUUUCAAGAGCCUUAAAUUAU